CAACGCUGGCGGCGUGCCUCAGACAUGCAAGUCGAACGAUUAAAGCUUUCUUCGGAAAGUGUAUAAAGUGGCGUACGGGAGAGUAACACGUAAGUAAUCUACCCUUGGGUGGGGAAUAACUUAGGGAAACUUAAGCUAAUACCGCAUAAUGCAGCGGCUCCGUUUGGAGACAGUUGUUAAAGCAUUUAUGCGCCUAAGGAGGAGCUUGCGGCAGAUUAGCUAGUUGGUAAGGUAAUGGCUUACCAAGGCGACGAUCUGUAGCCGGUCUAAGAGGACGGUCGGUCUCACUGACACUGAAUAACGGGUCAGACUCCUACGGGAGGCAGCAGUCGGGAAUUUUGUGCAAUGGGGGAAACCCUGACACAGCAACGCCGCGUGAAGGAUGAAGUCCCUCGGGAUGUAAACUUCGAAAGUAUAGGAAGAAUAAAUGACGGUACUAUACAUAAGCUCCGGCUAACUACGUGCCAGCAGCCGCGGUAAU
rnacentral:rRNA from 1 species